GACGAACGCUGGCGGCGUGCCUAAUACAUGCAAGUCGAACGAGGUCCAUCCAGUGGCAACACUGGUGAAGACCUAGUGGCGAACGGGUGAGUAACACGUGAGAAACCUGCCCCGAAGACCGGGAUAACCCUCCGAAAGGAGAGCUAAUACCGGAUACCCCCACCGAACCGCAUGGCUCGGUGAGGAAAUGGAUUCCGCUUCGGGAGGGUCUCGCGGCCUAUCAGCUUGUUGGCGGGGUAACGGCCCACCAAGGCAUUGACGGGUAGCUGGUCUGAGAGGACGAUCAGCCACACUGGGACUGAGACACGGCCCAGACUCCUACGGGAGGCAGCAGUAGGGAAUCUUGCGCAAUGGGCGAAAGCCUGACGCAGCAACGCCGCGUGGGGGAUGAAGGCUCUCGGGUUGUAAACCCCUUUCAGUGGGGACGAAUCAAGACGGUACCC
rnacentral:rRNA from 1 species